GCCCUUCAUGUGGGGCUGAAGUCUUAAGACCUGGAGAGCAGCCCCAAGGGUGGAGAAGCGGCUGCUGAAGGGAUCAGCAUGCGCUGGCACAGGAAGUCUGUUUUCCAUGUGUCUGGAACCCAGCCGAAGCUUCCUGGGGUAAUUUUAACCAGUAUCCACUCUAGAACAAUACCAAAAAAGCAAGACUGUGUUGGGCUGGAGGAAAGGCAGUAAUCAACUCCAUGUUCCACGUGAGGAAACUGAAGAUCAUGGAAGGCAAGUCGAGAGCCCCAAGGUUAUCCAGCUUCAAGGUCACCAGUCACCCAGCUUCCUUCUUUCGUGCAGCCAGAUGCCCAUCCCAGUACUAGGUUGCGCUGUGGGGAUUGUGGAGUAGCCCUCUACCACCUAGGGCCCUCAUGUGUUUCCUUUAUUUGAGACAGGGUCUCACUCUGUCACCCAGGGUGGAAGUGGCCCAGUCACAGCUUACUGCAGCAUCAGCCUCCCCAGGCUCAAGUGAUUAAGGCCUCCCUCUGCCUGCCCCACCCCCACUGUGUUUAUAUUGUUGGGAAACUUAAUCCACGGAAAUAAAGUGUGGAUUAUUUU
rnacentral:lncRNA from 1 species